ensembl:lncRNA
AUGUGGAGUGUGUCUCUAGCAGACUCUGAACACUCAGGCGAGUCUCCCCAUGCAAGGCACCUUGGCAUGGGAGCUCCACUACCAGGAAACCUCCUCCAGAGGUUCUGCAGCUUCUGCUCCAGAGGCACAGUCCACAGUGUCUGGCCGCUCAGAAAGAAAGGAAGAAAAAUAAAAUCCUUCACCUCCUUGGUUAAAUAUAUUCUUUUUUUUUUUGAGACGGAGUUUCGCUCUUGUUACCCAGGCUGGAGUGCAAUGGCGCGAUCUCGGCUCACUGCAACCUCCGCCUCCUGGGUUCAGGCAAUUCUCCUGCCUCAGCCUCCUGAGUAGCUGGGAUUACAGGCACGCGCCACCGUGCCCAGCUAAUUUUUUGUAUCUUUAGUAGAGACGGGGUUUCACCAUGUUGACCAGGAUGGUCUCGAUCUCUUGACCUUGUGAUCCACCCGCCUCGGCCUCCCAAAGUGCUGGGAUUACAGGCGUGAGCCACCGCUCCCAGCCUAGAUAUAUUCUUAAGUAUGUUAUUUAUUCUUGCAGCUAUUGUAAAAGGGAUUGAGUUCUUGAUUUGGUUAUCAGCUUGCUGGUUUUGGCAUAUACUAGUACUACUGAUUUGAUUUAUAUUGACUUUGUAACCUGACGCUUUACUGAAUUUCUUUAUCAAAUGUGGAAGUCUUUUGGAAGAGCCUUGAGGGUUUUCUAAGAUUGUGUCAUUGGCAAGCAGAGACAGUUUGACUUCCCCUUUUCCAGUUUGGAUGCCCUUUAUUUCUUCCCCUUGCCUGACUGCUCUGGCUAGGACUUCCCUCACGGAAUUUCUAGGUAAAAUGUUGAAGACACUGCUUGGUUUCUCAUAACUGCUUAUAGUAUAAUGCAAUAAGAGAGAAACUAUCUAAGCAUGGAUUUUUUUAAUCAAAAGGAAAGCAAAACAUUAAAUUUUGGAAAAUUCUCAGCCUAUUCAUAUUGAAAGGAACAAGAAAGCAUGUUCAGGAGGGAGCAAGAGUGUGACCAACUGACUGAUGAGGAGAUUAGUAUAGAUCUGGCAUCCAAAAGGAAGCCAGGUACUAUUUUUCAAGACAAUGGAUGAAUGACCCAAAAGGUAUUUUGGAGAUUAUUGGCGCUCCCCUCUCAUCACAGGCCCAGAGCACAAGUGCCUGGGGUUCAGAACCGUUUCAAGCUCUGGUCCCUGCAUACCACACAGCAUUCUUUGGCUGCCCCUUGUGUGGCUCCAGUGGGCCCAAGUGUGGCUUAGGCUGUGGUAGCUGUCCCUCUAGAAAGUACAGACAGGAAACCAUGGCAGCAUCAGAAAGGCACCAUCUCCACAUCUCCACCAGAACACAGAGUGUAUGAAGCACGGGUCAUGGCUAUUUUCACCUAGAUUUAGAAAGAAAAAGGCAUUCAGAGUAUUGAGCACCCAACCCAGGCCACCAUCAGGGUGGGCCAUCUCAGAGAGUCCCCACUAAGGCAAUGUUCUAUGGGGGGGCAUCCCUGUGACCCCAGACUGGUAGAGUUACUGGCAUACACUUCCAGCCCAAGAGAACCACAGACAGGAGGCUCCAACUCAUGACAGCUGUGGUUGGAGCUGUGCCCAGCAAAGCCAUGGGGACAGGACCUCCAAGAGGCUUGGUGACCCAACCCUUGCCCAGCAAAGCUCCAGAGAGGGAACCCUCCAACCCAGUGGGCCUAGAGGGCGGAACCUUGAGUCAAAGAAGGUUGUUUCUGAGCCUUAAGGUUUUGAACUUACUUGGAACAUGUUAGCCCUUCUUUUCUGUUUCUCCCUUUUGGAAUGAGAGUGUCUAUCCUGUGCCUGUCCCACUGUUGUAUUUUGGAAGCACAUAACAUGUUUGCUUUCAUGGGUUCACAGCUGCAGAGUAACUUGCCUGUAAAUGAAUCAUACCUUGAGUCCGACCUAUAUCUGAUUUAGAUGAUGUUUAAAUGAGACUCUGGACUUUAGACUUUUCAGUUGAUGCUGGAAUGAGUUAAGACUUUGGAGGCUACUAGGGUGAAUAUAUUGUGCAUGUGAGAAGGACACAAAUUUUGGUGGGCUGGGGAUGGAAUGCUAGGGUCUAUGGCUCCAUGAGUAAUGCAGCGAAACGUUGUGUCUGCAUUACUUGUUUGUGUCUCUCCAAAAUUCAUAUGUUGAAAUCCUAACCACCAAGGUGAUGAUGUUAGGAAAUGGGAGCUUUUGAGAGGUGAGUAGGUCAUGAGGGCUGAACUGUCAUGAGUGAUAUCAGUGCCCUUGUGAAAUAUAUCCAAGGGGGCUCUCUCAGUCUUCCCACCUUGUGAGGACAUAGUGAGAAGUCACUAUCUAUGAAUCAGAAGGUGGUCCCUGACCAGAGAGCAAAUCUGCCAGCACCUUGAUCUUGACUUUCCAGUCUCCAGAACUGUGAGAAAUAAACAUCUGUUGUUAAUAAGCCACCCAGUCUCUGGUAUUUGAGCAGCCAAAAUAAACUCAGAC